GGCCCAAUGGUCUAGAGGUAAGAUACUUGCUUUGGGCGUUCGUCUGAUUGCAAGGGAUCCCGGGUUCGAAUCCCGGUUGGGCCC